rnacentral:misc_RNA from 1 species
GGAAGGAUCAUUAACGAAGUUGGAUAGAGUAUUUGUGAAGCAAGAUUAAUUUACGAUGAAUUAAGAAAUAGAGUAUAACUUUUAACAAUGGAUCUCUAGGCUCUCGCAACGAUGAAGAACGUAGUGAAGUGCGAUAACUAGUGUGAAUUGCAUUAUCUUGUGAAACAUUGAGUCUUUGAACGCAAAUUGCACUGUGGGGAACCACAGUAUGAGUGAGUGAGUAUUGAGAAGACUGAGACGGGGUGCGGCUGCGAGGCCGGGCGGCGUUGGAGUAUGACGGUUGACGCGGUCACUGUUUAAAGAAAUGAGCGGUCUGCUAGGGCGCUGAUCUGUGAUGAGAGUUUCAGGUUUGUGUCUGAGGGGGCGGCUGGGGGAACAGGGGGUGUGGCUACGUGCGGAGCUGAGGCGGUGCACGGGGGGGUCAGGCUUCCGAGAUCGCAAUCUCACUUCACUCAAGAAGACCCGCUGAACUUAAGCAUAUCAGUAAGCGGAGGAAAAGAAACUAACUAGGAUUCCCUCAGUAACGGCGAGUGAAGCGGGAAGAGCUCAAAUUUGGAAUCCGUAACAGGAGUUGUAAUUGAUAGGGCGGGAGGCAUGCAGCAGCAGCAGGGAGCAAGUUUCCUGGAAGGGAGCAUCGCAGAGGGUGAGAAUCCCGUGGCUCCAGGCUGUGGCUGUGCGGCACCGGUCCGACGAGUCGGGUUGUUUGGGAUUGCAGCCCUAAAUUGGUGGUAUACUCCAUCUAAAGCUAAAUACAGGCGAGAGACCGAUAGCGAACAAGUACCGUGAGGGAAAGAUGAAAAGGACUUUGAAAAGAGGGUUAAAAGUGCGUGAAAUUGUUAAAAGGGAAGCGAUUAGUUUGUGCGGGGUGCAGCGGGAGCUGUGAGCGGGGGUGCUGUGCAGAGGGUCAUUCCCUGUGUGGUGCUGAGCAACAGAGGAAGCUGGACGGGGCAGAGAUAGUUUGGGGUACAGGAGGCGAGCGCAGAAGGUGAUUCUGGGAGUGAUUCCGGGAAGUUAAGCUGCGCGGGGCCGCUGUGCUGCAGACUGUGGUCUGGCAAUGCAGGAACUAACCGACCCGUCUUGAAACACGGACCAAGGAGUCUACCGUGGGUGCGAGUAAAUGGGUGGAAAGCCUACUUGCGGAAUGAAAGUGAGUGGCGGGAAGCGGGGCUGGUGCAUGCAUCGGCGCCGCGGCACCGCCCGCCGGUUGAGACGCUACAGCGGAUUGUACCGAGUCGCAGCAUCCAUGGUGGGACCCGAAAGAUGGUGAACUAUGCCUGGGUAGGAUGAAGCCAGAGGAAACUCUGGUGGAGGUCCGUCGCGGUUCUGACGUGCAAAUCGAUCGUUGAACCUGGGUAUAGGGGCGAAAGACUAAUCGAACCAUCUAGUAGCUGGUUCCCUC